UAAAAUUGUUAACUGUCAACUUGAAACUGUUGAGAAGAAAAACAAGAGAAUGGCAAGAUAAUUAUAAUAGAAGAGGAACGUAAAAAUAACACAAUAACAGUCUGCCAAACAUUACGUUCUACAAAAGCAGAAUUUAGGCCCAAGACCGAUAAAAUAUUAAAGAAGGAGAAUGGAGAUCUAAUAGCUGACAAAAGGCAUAAGACAGCGUAAAAAGGGUCAAAAUAUAACAUACAAUGUUGACCUACUGAAGCUACUACUGGACCAGAAUAACCAGAGCUUGUGUUGAGGUUUCUUUAUAUCGCAUUGGGGAAAGUAGUAAGAGAAGCCAAAAUCGAAACUCAACUUCGGUGCCACUGAAUCCAACUACCUGCUAGCAUAUGUCGACGAGAUAUGGACAUAUACAACAUAAGUGAAUAAAUUAGAGAACGCCUAAAGUCAACCAACAGGUGCUUAUACGCCCUAAAGGAUAUAUUAGAGUCCAAAUACGUGACUAGGAGAACGAAAAUCAAGACUUACCAGACCAUGACCAGUGCUAAUGUACGGCUGCGAAACCUGAACUCUUACGGUGCGAAAUUAGGAACUAAUUCGAAGAUUCGAGAGAAAAGUGCUGUGGAAAAAAACAGCCAGAACUGAUUCACCUCAUAAACGCACAAGGUGUAAAGUAAAGUAAAGUCAGCUUACCCCUUAA